rnacentral:lncRNA from 1 species
CCAUGCACUUCCAGAACUCCACCGGGAUCUCGUCAGGCCCGGUCGCUCGACCCCUACUCAUCCUACGCAAGGCCCCCAUCCUCCACCCUAAUGCGCCUGCAGUACCCAAGGUCCCUAUGCCGCUCAGAAUGCCCCAGCUCCCGUAGCUCUAUGUCACGAUCCCCCUCCUCGUUAAGUAAGUCCCGAAAGUACUCUUGCCACCUCUGUUUGAUUUGAGAUUCCCCCAACAGAACUCUACCGUCCUCGCCCUUGAUACACCUAACUUGGUCUAGAUCGCGAGCCUUCCUCUCCCUCGCUUUAGCUAACCGGAAUAACUUCUUAUCCCCGCCUCUCUCC